rnacentral:rRNA from 1 species
GACGAACGCUGGCGGCGUGCUUAACACAUGCAAGUCGAACGGACAGACCCUGCUUUUGUUGGGUUCACGAUUGACGAACAGGUGAGUAACACGUGAGUAACAUCCACUUGACUUUGGGAUAACUUCACGAAACUGGGGCUAAUACCGGAUAUGAUCUCCUGCUGCAUGUUGGUGGUUGGUAAGUUUCGGCGGUUGUGGAUGGACUCGCGGCUUAUCAGCUGGUUGGUGGGGUAGUUGCUUACCAAGCCUUUGACGGGUAGCCGGCCUGGGAGGGUUACCGGCCACCUUGGGACAGAGAUACGGCCCAGACUCCUACGGGCGGCAGCAGUGGGGAAUAUUGCACAGUGGGCGGAAGCCUGAUGCAGCAACGUCGCGUGCGGGAUGACGGCCUUCGAGUUGUAAACCGCUUUCGCCUGUGACGAAGCGUGCGUGACGGUAAUGGGUAAAGAAGCACCGGCUAACUACGUG